rnacentral:rRNA from 1 species
UACGUAGGGUGCAAGCGUUGUCCGGAAUUAUUGGGCGUAAAGAGCUCGUAGGUGGCCUGUCGCGUCGGAUGUGAAAGCCCUGGGCUCAACUCAGGAAGUGCAUUCGAUACUGGCAAGCUUGAGUAUGGAAGAGGGUCGCGGAAUUCCCGGUGUAGAGGUGAAAUUCGUAGAUAUCGGGAGGAACACCAGUGGCGAAGGCGGCGACCUGGGCCAAUACUGACACUGAGGUGCGAAAGCGUGGGGAGCAAACAGG